GACGAACGCUGGCGGCGUGCCUAAUACAUGCAAGUCGAGCGGACAGAAGGGAGCUUGCUCCCGGAUGUUAGCGGCGGACGGGUGAGUAACACGUGGGUAACCUGCCUGUAAGACUGGGAUAACUCCGGGAAACCGGAGCUAAUACCGGAUAGUUCCUUGAACCGCAUGGUUCAAGGAUGAAAGACGGUUUCGGCUGUCACUUACAGAUGGACCCGCGGCGCAUUAGCUAGUUGGUGAGGUAACGGCUCACCAAGGCGACGAUGCGUAGCCGACCUGAGAGGGUGAUCGGCCACACUGGGACUGAGACACGGCCCAGACUCCUACGGGAGGCAGCAGUAGGGAAUCUUCCGCAAUGGACGAAAGUCUGACGGAGCAACGCCGCGUGAGUGAUGAAGGUCUUCGGAUCGUAAAGCUCUGUUGUUAGGGAAGAACAAGUGCAAGAGUAACUGCUUGCACCUUGACGGUACCUAACCAGAAAGCCACGGCUAACUACGUGCCAGCCGCCGCGGAAAUACGGAGGUGGCAAGCGUUGUCCGGAAUUAUUGGGGCGUAAAGGGCUCGCAGGCGGUUUCUUAAGUCUGAUGUGAAAGCCCCCGGCUCAACCGGGGAGGGUCAUUGGAAACUGGGAAACUUGAGUGCAGAAGAGGAGAGUGGAAUUCCACGUGUAGCGGUGAAAUGCGUAGAGAUGUGGAGGAACACCAGUGGCGAAGGCGACUCUCUGGUCUGUAACUGACGCUGAGGAGCGAAAGCGUGGGGAGCGAACAGGAUUAGAUACCCUGGUAGUCCACGCCGUAAACGAUGAGUGCUAAGUGUUAGGGGGUUUCCGCCCCUUAGUGCUGCAGCUAACGCAUUAAGCACUCCGCCUGGGGAGUACGGUCGCAAGACUGAAACUCAAAGGAAUUGACGGGGGCCCGCACAAGCGGUGGAGCAUGUGGUUUAAUUCGAAGCAACGCGAAGAACCUUACCAGGUCUUGACAUCCUCUGACAACCCUAGAGAUAGGGCUUUCCCUUCGGGGACAGAGUGACAGGUGGUGCAUGGUUGUCGUCAGCUCGUGUCGUGAGAUGUUGGGUUAAGUCCCGCAACGAGCGCAACCCUUGAUCUUAGUUGCCAGCAUUUCAGUUGGGCACUCUAAGGUGACUGCCGGUGACAAACCGGAGGAAGGUGGGGAUGACGUCAAAUCAUCAUGCCCCUUAUGACCUGGGCUACACACGUGCUACAAUGGACAGAACAAAGGGCUGCGAGACCGCAAGGUUUAGCCAAUCCCACAAAUCUGUUCUCAGUUCGGAUCGCAGUCUGCAACUCGACUGCGUGAAGCUGGAAUCGCUAGUAAUCGCGGAUCAGCAUGCCGCGGUGAAUACGUUCCCGGGCCUUGUACACACCGCCCGUCACACCACGAGAGUUUGCAACACCCGAAGUCGGUGAGGUAACCUUUAUGGAGCCAGCCGCCGAAGG
rnacentral:rRNA from 1 species